rnacentral:rRNA from 1 species
UACGUAGGGUGCGAGCGUUGUCCGGAAUUAUUGGGCGUAAAAGAGCUUGUAGGCGGUCUGUCGCGUCUGCUGUGAAAAAUCCGGGGGCUCAACCCCCGGACUUGCAGUGGGGUACGGGGCAGACUAGAGUGUGGUAGGGGGAGACUGGAAAUUCCUGGUGUAGCGGUGAAAAUGCGUAGAUAUCAGGAGGAACACCGGUGGCGAAAGGCGCACAUCUGGCCCGAUACUGACGCUGAGGCGCGAAAAGCGUGGGGGAGCAAACAGG